rnacentral:rRNA from 1 species
CCCUAAAGGUCACUAGCUGUUGGGGCCUUCGGGCCUUGGUAGCGCAGCUAACGCGUGAAGUUGACCGCCUGGGGAGUACGGUCGCAAGAUUAAAACUCAAAGGAAUUGACGGGGACCCGCACAAGCGGUGGAUGAUGUGGAUUAAUUCGAUGCAACGCGAAAAACCUUACCUACCCUUGACAUGUCUGGAAUGCCGAAAAGAUUUGGUUUCUGCUCGCAAGAUAACCGGAACACAGGUGCUGCAUGGCUGUCGUCAGCUCGUGUCGUGAGAUGUUGGGUUAAGUCCCGCAACGAGCGCGACCCUUGUCAUUAGUUGCUACUAAAGGGCACUCUAAUGACACUGCCGGUGACAAACCGGAAGAAGGUGGGGAUGACGUCAAGUCCUCAUGGCCCUUAUGGGUAGGGCUUCACACGUCAUACUGUGGUCGGGACAGAGGGUCGCCAACCCGCGAGGGGGAGCCUAUCCCAGAAACCCGAUCGUACUCCGGAUCGCAGUCUGCAACUCGACUGCGUGAAGUCGGAAUCGCUAGUAAUCGCGGAUCAGCGUGUCGCGGUGAAUACGUUCCCGGGUCGUGUACACACCGCCCGUCACACCGUGGGAGUGGGUUUUACCAGAAGUAGUUAGCCUAACCGCAAGGGGGGCGAUUACCACGGUAGGAUUCAUGACUGGGGUGAAGUCGUACAAGGGUAACCAACCCAGCGGCCACUCGUUUGGGUGGGGAAAGAAUGGGUGGGCAGCCC